rnacentral:lncRNA from 1 species
GACCCCUCUCAUGCCUUGGCCCGCGAGCCUCUUCUACUCCAGGAGGAUCUGUCAUAGAGGAAGUACCAGUCGGCAUUAUAGAUCGAAAGAGCAUAUUACUCUGCAACCGAGAAAUUCCCUUUGUAAAGGUCAUAUGGCAGAACCACACACCAAGGGAGGCUACAUAGGAGUUAGAAGCAGACUUUAAAAUCCAAUAUCCCCAACUGUUUGAUUGAGAGUGA